GUCUGCUCAAUUGCGGAGAGCAACAGGUUGCUAAUCUGUAGGCCUGUGGUUCGAAUUCACUCGUGGACACCA
rnacentral:tRNA from 1 species